CACAAACUCCGUCGGGGAGAGGAUGGACAAUUACUGCUUACUGAGCAAUGUAACAACUAAACCACAAGGAGGUGCAACGGAAAUAACAAGAAAAGAGUCAAUCUAGGAACAAACUAGAGAGACACAAUGAAUCAAGACUCAACCCGACGAGGAUAUAACUCAGGGGAGUGAUUCCAUCCCAAUACAUAUUUCUGCCUAAGGGGCUGACUCUGUAUGGAGAGAUCAGACACAAAC
rnacentral:lncRNA from 1 species